CCUACGGGUGGCUGCAGUGGGGAAUAUUGGACAAUGGGCGAAAGCCUGAUCCAGCCAUGCCGCGUGUGUGAAGAAGGCCUUCGGGUUGUAAAGCACUUUCAGUGGGGAAGAAAGCCUUGGGGCUAAUACCCUCGAGGAAGGACAUCACCCACAGAAGAAGCACCGGCUAACUCCGUGCCAGCAGCCGCGGUAAUACGGAGGGUGCGAGCGUUAAUCGGAAUUACUGGGCGUAAAGCGCGCGUAGGCGGUCUGAUAAGCCGGUAGUGAAAGCCCCGGGCUCAACCUGGGAACGGCAUCCGGAACUGUCAGGCUAGAGUGCAGGAGAGGAAGGUAGAAUUCCCGGUGUAGCGGUGAAAUGCGUAGAGAUCGGGAGGAAUACCAGUGGCGAAGGCGGCCUUCUGGACUGACACUGACGCUGAGGUGCGAAAGCGUGGGUAGCAAACAGGAUUAGAUACCCUGGUAGUC
rnacentral:rRNA from 1 species